rnacentral:lncRNA from 10 species
CAAACCCACAUAAGACUGCCACGAGCACACAGAAUAUAGAUCUCGGUUAUGAGAUGUGUAAAACACACAAUGGCCUGAAUCAGGAGCUAAGUAUAUAAGUGCAAACAAACCCGUUUUUAUAGUUAGCAUGGCAUUUUGAAUGGAGUUUUAAGCCUAAAGGACAGUAUCCUACUUGCAGAAGAAGAUGGGAAAUGUAACAUUCCAUUAUCUUGCUUUGGAUUUAUGGAAAUUCUGAACAGUGAUGUGAGAGUGACUACAGUUUGAAGUAUCUGUUAAAUACAGCAACAUGACAUCACAAGGAUUGUUUUGGAGUCUUCUGGAUAUGAGAACAUUAUAAAAGGUGAAAAAGUAGAACUGAAAUAUGAAGGGAGAAAAAGAGACAAACAUGGUUUCAAGUCUCACUUAGAG